UACGGAGGGUGCGAGCGUUGUCCGGAAUCACUGGGCGUAAAGCGUGCGCAGGCGGCUUUGCAAGACAGAUGUGAAAUCCCCGGGCUCAACCUGGGAACUGCAUUUGUGACUGCAUGGCUGGAGUGCGGCAGAGGGGGAUGGAAUUCCGCGUGUAGCAGUGAAAUGCGUAGAUAUGCGGAGGAACACCGAUGGCGAAGGCAAUCCCCUGGGCCUGCACUGACGCUCAUGCACGAAAGCGUGGGGAGCAAACAGG
rnacentral:rRNA from 1 species